rnacentral:tRNA from 1 species
GGGCCUGUGGCGCAGUUUGGACAGCGCGGCAGCCUCCUAAGCUGUAGGUCGCGGGUUCAAAUCCCGUCAGGCCCGCCA